CCCUCAUCCAGGAACCCCGGGUACCACUCCUAGGGGGACUGAUGUCUGUGUGGAUGACAUGAGCAGAGACACAGAGCGUCCCCAACUGCCGACCGGAGCCCGCGGCUGCCCAGAGCACGGUUGCUCAGCAGGACACCCGUCCCCACCAUGCUGGGUCUGCUGAAAGCUGAACCUCUGCCUGGAUGGGGGUUCAGGCUGCUUGGAGGUGCAGGGUUCGAAGAUCUGGGGUGUCCAGACAGGGCGAGCACAUGGACUCUUACCUUCAGGACCCUAUGGAGCUGAAGGCGGCUUCUCUGCCUGACCCGCUGUCCUCUCAGCAGAGCCACAUGGGAGGGGCCCUACUGGACUGCAUCAGGGAGGAGGGUGGCCAGCAUGGCUUCUCACCCGACCAGUCCACGCCUGCCACCCGGGGACUGGCAUUAUCCCUGUCCAAUCUCAAAGGUCUCCAGCUCGGAAGAGAACUGGUACAGACACCCACCCGAAGAUGGCAUUCUGGGUCUCUCUCCUCUUUCCCAUGCACCUCACCCACGCAACCGUCCCACUGCCUCCCCUUCCAACAUCAGACCCUCCUUAUGAAAAUGACCCCUUUGGGGUCUUGUGAACCUCA